ACUCCUACGGGAGGCAGCAGUGAGGAAUAUUGGUCAAUGGAGGGAACUCUGAACCAGCCAUCCCGCGUGUAGGAAGACGGCCUUAUGGGUUGUAAACUACUUUUAUACAGGAAGAAACGUACCCUCGUGAGGGUGCCUGACGGUACUGUAGGAAUAAGCACCGGCUAACUCCGUGCCAGCAGCCGCGGUAAUACGGAGGGUGCGAGCGUUAAUCGGAAUUACUGGGCGUAAAGCGCAUGCAGGUGGUUUGUUAAGUCAGAUGUGAAAGCCCGGGGCUCAACCUCGG
rnacentral:rRNA from 1 species